rnacentral:tRNA from 1 species
GCCUCCAUAAUUCAAAGGAUAGAACCCUCCUCUUGUAAAGCUGGGAAUUCCAGUUCGAAUCUGGAUGGGGGCA